GGGCCCAUAGUUCAGUUGGCUAGAACGUCGGUAUGGCAUACCGGAGGUCGUGGGUUCAAGUCCCACUGGGUCCACCA
rnacentral:tRNA from 1 species